rnacentral:rRNA from 1 species
GAAACGACUCUCGGCAACGGAUAUCUCGGCUCACGCAUCGAUGAAGAACGUAGCAAAAUGCGAUACUUGGUGUGAAUUGCAGAAUCCCGUGAACCAUCGAGUUUUUGAACGCAAGUUGCGCCCGAAGCCAUCUGGUUGAGGGCACGUCUGCCUGGGCGUCACGC